GCCCAAACCACAAUUUCAUUAGGGUUUUCUCCAUUUUCUUCUCGCGGCGUGAGCUCACCGACGAACCCACGUAUAGGCUCAGAUCGCCGUUCCGAUAUACAUAACGCCUCAGAUCUCCAUAAAUGCGUUCUUACCUUCGUCCUCCAAUUACCGGCUGAAGGUUCAACUACAAAUAUCCCACCUUUCGACGAUGAAUACCACAACUCAAACGAGAUCCACAAAAAUAGUUUGCUUAAGCAAUGGAUUCCGACAAUGGCGUCUUCAUACACUCUCCUUGCCGAUUGGAAAGCCAGACGCUGCUCCCGGAGGUUCGGUCGUCUGCUGAGGUUUUGAGAGGCCAGAACCUUUGUUUCCCAUUAACCUUGUCGACUAUUAGAUUCAUUCUGAUUUACUAAUGUUUUAUUUUACUCCUUUCCAACACUUAUUCAAGGGUCCAUUGGUGCGAUUCGACAGCUGAGAUUUAGAUAACGACUUGCAGAAGGCUCUGUGUUCACGCUAAGUGGAUUUGAUGUUUCGCGCAAAAACCCCAAAUUCCGGUUAUCUGAUGCCCUCCUCUCCAUAUGGUUCAAUGAUGGAACUUCUUUCGAAAAGCGAGCAAUGACCGUGAGGACCAUACCAACGGAAAUGUUUCGAUUUCCAUCAUACGACCAGUUACCAGAACUAGCAAACACCGGCAAACAGCUCCCUGUUUAUGUGCAGGGAUACAAGCGUUUGUGUUAGUAUGUUUGACUCUCUGGCUCUUGCAUUCCAUAGCAAAUUCGAUAGCUACGGGAGAGAGCCAAGAAUUGUUGCUGUAAUAGAUAUAGUGACAUCCUCUGUUGUGUUGAUAUCAGUGUCGUGGUUGUUGUUAUAUUAAUCAUUCAAGCAUAGGUCGAGACCUGAAUCAGAUGUCUGGAGUAUGGGUGUCAUCACUUGCAUUCUUCUCUGUGGAAGAAGACCCUUUUGGGGUAAGACACAAGACGUGAUACUGAAUGAGUUGUAGACAAUAAAACAGGUAAUGAGAAGAAAAAACAUGACUUCGAAACAAACACACGGGCAACGAUUACAAGGAAGCCAAAGAUCUUGUGAAGAAGUUGUUGGCAAAGGAGUCAUGAGCACGGUUAACAGCAGCACACGCAUGGGUGAGAGAUUGUAAUAGACAUCUGUUCUUGUCAACAUACAUCAGUUUCUGAAGUUAGCCGGCUUAAGCAGAUUGCUCUGAAGGAGACGACUAAUGAUGAUGAUGAGCUGGAUGAUCUCAUAGACCAGUUUGGAGAAGUUAAUAUGUAGAGAUUCCAUAUCACACAAAGUCAAGAAUGAUUCCAUUAGUCUUGUGGAGAUGAGGCAGGUUCUUGUGAAAGAUAGUCCUUGGAAGCUCAAUGAUGCAAGAUUAGCUGCGAUUCUUCAAGGAAUCGAUAGCAACACUUAUGGGUUAGUGAACUACGCUGAGUUUGUGGUCGUUACUUUACAUGUUAGUCAACUGGAGGAGCAUGACUCUGACCAGUGGGAGUAGUGGUCAUGAGCAGCUUUCGAGAAGUUUGACAUUGCCAGAGAUGGGUUUAUAACAUCUGAGGAACAAAAAAUGAAUCACUUCUUGCAGAAGCUGGCGUUAAUGAAGAUCGGAGAAUCAGCAUUCAUGAGUUUCACAAACUCUUGAGAUCUGCAAUCCUCCAGGGAUGUUCAUAGCACAUGAAGAACUUGCUGGUCAAACCUAAUGAAAAAAGCACUCACCUCUUAAUCUGAAGAAGAGGCAUGUAAUUUAAGCUCAAGCUCUAAACAAACACCAUCUUUUUAAUCCGAUUGGUUACUGUUCCUCAUAAUAUCCAAACCUAAAGAGUUUAUUUUACAAUCUUGUUUGUUUCAAGCAUACACGACCAUCGUUUCAUUAACAUACAGUUUUGGAUAUUCAUUUAAUUUUCAAAAUAAAAAAUAUAAAUAUUUUCCCUCA